UCAGAACAGAGAAUAAAAUACCCAAAUCGAAAUACCUUACAUGCCUAAUCCCAAAUCGAUGUCUCUCUUUUAUCUCAGUUUCUUGAUAUCAAAUCUAAAACAUCCUUCAAUCAAUCCUCCAAAAAUGAGACAGAAAAUUUGAAUAUUCAUCUCCCCAACCCCAAGUCGAGAGAACCUGCUCAUUAUCUUUCUCAUGUCGUUGUAUUGGGACAAUUCGAACUGAGAAGCCGUUUCAAGGACACAAGCUCUUCAAGUCAUUAUCUCAGUAGACUACUGUGAUUGUUCUUCAUUUGGUUCGCCUUUUUCCCUUUUCACAGGUUUUGUUCUCUGAGGUGAGCCUAUAUGAGGUCGAUUUGGGACGGUGCUAGGCAUUGCUUUUGUAAAGAAAGCGACUUGUUGGCCCUUGUGGAGUGAGAUCUUGUUGUUUCUUUAAGACUUUUUUGUUCUUUCCUGUAAUUUUCAGACAUCAUAUUUGUUCUGUGACCGUUUCAUUUGAGAUAUGUUGAACACAAUCAUAAGCAUUCUAAAA